rnacentral:rRNA from 1 species
AGUGGGGAAUUUUGGACAAUGGGGGAAACCCUGAUCCAGCCAUGCCGCGUGCAGGAUGAAGGCCUUCGGGUUGUAAACUGCUUUUGUACGGAACGAAAAGUCUCUUCCUAAUACGAAGGGGUGAUGACGGUACCGUAAGAAUAAGCACCGGCUAACUACGUGCCAGCAGCCGCGGUAAUACGUAGGGUGCAAGCGUUAAUCGGAAUUACUGGGCGUAAAGCGUGCGCAGGCGGUUAUGUAAGACAGAGGUGAAAUCCCCGGGCUCAACCUGGGAACUGCCUUUGUGACUGCAUAGCUGGAGUACGGCAGAGGGGGAUGGAAUUCCGCGUGUAGCAGUGAAAUGCGUAGAUAUGCGGAGGAACACCGAUGGCGAAGGCAAUCCCCUGGGCCUGUACUGACGCUCAUGCACGAAAGCGUGGGGAGCAAACAGGAUUAGAUACCCUGGUAGUCCACGCCCUAAACGAUGUCAACUGGUUGUUGGGUCUUAACUGACUCAGUAACGAAGCUAACGCGUGAAGUUGACCGCCUGGGGAGUACGGCCGCAAGGUUGAAACUCAA